rnacentral:rRNA from 1 species
GUCGAGCGAUGAACCCCUUCGGGGGUGGAUUAGCGGCGGACGGGUGAGUAACACGUGGGUAACCUGCCUCAAAGUGGGGGAUAGCCUUCCGAAAGGAAGAUUAAUACCGCAUAAAGCCAAGUUUCACAUGGAAUUUGGAUGAAAGGAGUAAUUCGCUUUGAGAUGGACCCGCGGCGCAUUAGUUAGUUGGUGGGGUAAUGGCCUACCAAGACAGCGAUGCGUAGCCGACCUGAGAGGGUGAUCGGCCACAUUGGAACUGAGAUACGGUCCAGACUCCUACGGGAGGCAGCAGUGGGGAAUAUUGCACAAUGGGCGAAAGCCUGAUGCAGCAACGCCGCGUGAGUGAUGAAGGUCUUCGGAUUGUAAAGCUCUGUCUUUUGGGACGAUAAUGACGGUACCAAAGGAGGAAGCCACGGCUAACUACGUGCCAGCAGCCGCGGUAAUACGUAGGUGGCGAGCGUUGUCCGGAUUUACUGGGCGUAAAGGGUGCGUAGGCGGAUGUUUAAGUGAGAUGUGAAAUACCCGGGCUUAACUUGGGUGCUGCAUUUCAAACUGGAUAUCUAGAGUGCAGGAGAGGAGAAUGGAAUUCCUAGUGUAGCGGUGAAAUGCGUAGAGAUUAGGAAGAACACCAGUGGCGAAGGCGAUUCUCUGGACUGUAACUGACGCUGAGGCACGAAAGCGUGGGUAG